UAUGUCUAACCUUGGAGAUUUUCAAGUGUUAGCCUGUCUGAUAUAAUUUUAAUUUUGUGAUUUGUAUAAAGAAUUAUAAAGAUGGUACGCAAAGCUACUUAAGUCUCUGGUAUUUUGCUACCGAGUAGGUCUUACUAGUCUAAAUGCAUCAGAAAGAUUCAGAAAAGAAAGCUGAAAACAAUGUAAUCCAGUCAAAUUUGAGGUUGUUUGACUUACCAUGUGAAUCACAUUCAUCAAAGCAAGAAACAUCAAGUGCCUUUUGAUGAUGUGAAAAUAUAUGUAUUUUCAUUAAAAAACUAACUUGCUAUAUACAGGCAUUUAGAAUGUACUGCUUUUGUUUUCAAAAGAAAAGAAAUAUAUACAUCUUGAACAAGUGAGCCCCUUUACGAAAAUAUUUUGGUUCUGUGACUUUGUCUAUCUGGAAUUGUUUUUGAAAUCUCAUCCAUUACAUAGCUAAACUGUUACCUACAACUAGAAACUAGCGAAUAUAUUAACUUUUUUGUGGUGUCUGUAUUGACGUGUCAUCGACACAUUUUUGUUCCUCAGAAGUGUGAUUCCUUGUGAUGGCUAUUCAUUUGCAUUCUAAAAUAAUGGGCAGGACAAACAAAUUGUAUCUGCCCGUGAAGGGUAUAAUCAUUUGGUAUUGGCAUGUAUCAGAUCUUUUUUUAAUUGACACUGGAGAGGCUAGCAGUUACCAAAAAUGCGAGAAGAGGCGACGAGGCCUGAAAGGCGUCGCCUUUUUUAACAAAAAAGAAAAGAGGCUGAAUUAAAACAUAAAACGCAGAGUUAGGGUUUUACGAUGCUUAUCUCUUUCUAGAAUUGGAAAAUGUUGAAGAAGAAUUAGAAUAGACUUUUAGUAUUGCUUGUCUUAUGAAUUAUUGAGUCAUUAAAGUUCUAGACUUUUAGUAUCUACUAUCUACUUUUAAUGUUUGAAUUGAAAUAUUUGCUAAUAUGUUAUUGCUAUUGAGAUUUUGAUUAUUUAUAUGUGCAAUUAAAUAUUUUAAUUUUUUGGUAUUAAUUGGCCCAUCACUUCAAAAAGGAGUGCGCCUCGCCUCUCAAAAAGGCGAGGCAGGUCCUUGUCGCCUUUUGUCGCCGCCCGCCUUCCAAAACACGGUGUAUCAGAUUAAAUCACCAAUUAGCGCAGAAGGAUCCAUCUAUUGUGCUAUUUGGAGGAUAGUGAAAUGAUAUCUUGGUCCUUGAACUAUCUUAGGAUUUCCUUUGCAUUUGAGAAAGAAAGAGAAGGAAAAUCAAGGAAUAGGAGCAAAAAUAGAGUUAAGAAUGCGAUGAAACGACAUAUGCCCCAGGACCUUGGUCUAGUGGUAAGAGUGUAGUGCAUGAUGUGCGAGUUAGGCGCACGAUACGGGCUCGAACCCUAUAGAUAAAAGCUUGGUAUUUUCUUUUAUAAAGACAAAAGCUUGGUAUUAAGUGGAGAAGAAUAGAGGAGCAGGCCCAUUAUCCACGGAGUUCCUAGAUGUGCUCCAUUGGCUCUCGAGGAUUAACCAAAAAAAAAUGCAAAGAAAGCAAGAAUUUCUGUCAUAUAUAGGUCAAUGAUAGAUAUUAGAUGAUACAAUGAGUUAAAUUCUGAGCAUCUAGUUAAAGAAAAUUUGCUUUGCAUUCCUCAUAUGUAAGAUGACCUUUGGCCUUGUGCUUUUUUCUGUUUGUCUGGUCAUUAAGUUAAUUUUUUAUAAACAGUGAUAAAAAGAUUGACGUUGGGAUUUAUUUGAAGUAUGUUUUCUCUCAACAUUUCUCCCCUAAAGUUAGCUUAACUGGGUUGGUAUGAUUCUAGCUUGGAAAACACAAUUGGUGAAUAUGCCAAAAAUCAAGUAGAAUGAACUGGAAAUGUUAAUUCGGCUCAGUCUUUAUUUAAAACAGAGGAAACAAAGUUUAUGUAGUUCUGCUUUCAGUUUCUGGAUCUUACAUUUUGGAGAGACCGAAAACAUCUACACACACACAUUUUAAAAUAUCCUUACAGAUCUGAGUACUUCCUACCGCUGAAUUUCUCAUCUUCCCCACUCGCUGCCGAACUCCAACCCGUCCUCUUGCUAUCCCACUCUCUCUAGUACAUGAAAACCCUAAGUUAACACAGCAUAGGAACUGGCUUGUUAUGAGUUUUAUGACACAUCAUGACAAAUGUCGCUCUCAGAUUUACAGUGCCUGCUAGAGUGAUUCAGUCUCCUUUUAUAAGGUAUGUAUUUGAUGCGGGUGUAUAAGCAUCCAGUACAUGCUUAUUUCUUGUGGCUAAGGUAUUUUUUGAAAGAUCCACACAAAAUAUCCACACCCACGUCACAUUGAGAUAACAACAGAGACCUAGGAACAAUAGUCUGUUUUUGUUUGAAAUUAUUAUCUUUAUAUCCGAUAACAUCAGAUAAAAUGUUUUCCUACUAGUAGUAGUUUGUGAUAAAACUUAGAACUCAUAUCAACUGGUGAUGAAGUUGCCGUCCUUGAAUUAGCUGUUAUUUUUCAAGACUUGUGUAUUUGCACAUAUUCCUAUUUGCAUUUUAUAUUUAGAUACCUACAUGCACUAGAAGUAGGAAUAAAUGCAUAAGAACCCCUUAUCUUUUUCAAUCUGUAGCCCAUAAUUUCCUUCACCGGAUGCAUCAGGAGGAGGUUGAAUGCAUAAAAUCGGCUUGUGUUUUCAUUAUAUAGACUUUUAACUGUUAAUUUCCUUCAGCGUUUGAAAUAUACACCUGGUUUACUUAAAACAGUUACCAAGGUGAAAUGGUUUAUCAUUCAAGAAAAAAGAAUAUAAUAGAAGUGAAAGAUCCAUAUAGGCUAUAGCAACCAGUUGGGGUUAAGGUUUAUCAUUCAUGUUUGCUAGUAGUUUUUGUAGUUUGUUUGGAGAUCUUUAAGUCAGUAGAAUGAGUCGUCUCAUGGGAAUUCAUAUAGUUGAGUGCAAUUUGCUUGGGAUUAAGGCGUACUUGUUUCUCUAAAGUAUGUUUUCAAGAAACUA